rnacentral:rRNA from 1 species
AUUGAACGCUGGCGGCAGGCCUAACACAUGCAAGUCGAGCGAGCGGCGGACGGGUGAGUAAUGUCUGGGAAACUGCCUGAUGGAGGGGGAUAACUACUGGAAACGGUAGCUAAUACCGCAUACCAUCAGAUGUGCCCAGAUGGGAUUAGCUAGUAGGUGGGGUAACGGCUCACCUAGGCGACGAUCCCUAGCUGGUCUGAGAGGAUGACAAGCCACACUGGAACUGAGACACGGUACAGUCUCCUACGGGAGGCAGCGGAGGGGAAUAUUGCACAAUGGGCGCAAGUCUGAUGCAGCCAUGCCGCGUGUGUGAAGGAGGCCUUCGGGUUGUAAAUCACUUUCAGCUGGGAGGCGUUACCCGCAGAAGAAGCACCGGCUAACUCCGUGCCAGCCGCCGCGGUAAUUC